UACGUAGGCAGCGAGCGUUGUUCGGAGUUACUGGGCGUAAAGAGUGCGUAGGCGGUGUUCCAAGUCUGGUGUGAAAUCUCCCGGCUCAACUGGGAGGGUGCGCCGGAGACUGGGAUGCUGGAGUAUGGGAGAGGUAAGCGGAAUUCCUGGUGUAGCGGUGAAAUGCGUAGAUAUCAGGAGGAACACCUGCGGUGUAGACGGCUUACUGGACCAUGACUGACGCUGAGGCACGAAAGCGUGGGGAGCAAACAGG
rnacentral:rRNA from 1 species